UGAAAUUCCUCUCUCCCUCUGUAAUCUUCUCUUCUCCCACUUCUUCCAGUUCCUAAUACCUAUGUGACUUGCUCUUUAGCCUCAUGAAAGCUUCAAGUCAGCAGCCUCCUCUUCACCUGGAAUUCCAUUGCUCCUUUUUCCGGAAGCGGCAGGCACUUUGGCAACUGCACCACCUCCUCAACUCCUACUGUCAUCAUAGUACCUUCAUCCAGUAACUGAUGGAAGCAAAUGCAAAGAUCCUCAUCCAAGCACCAGGCUAAGCUACAGCUGUCCAGUCGAAGAGAAAGAAGGAUUAUAUGAGCAAAGAGGGUCAAGAUCAUGAUGGGGAAACUCACAGAGACAGUGGACCUGAACUUGCUGGAGCUCACGGACUCAUUGAACUAUAUACUGAAUGCAGAGACUGAUUUGUGGAAAGUUGGUGUCAUGAUAUUAUUGAAUCAUGUGAAUAACGUGAGCAUCAUGUGGCUGGGCCCAAUCCCAGGAUGCAUUAUUUAGAUUCUAUCCCUGAUGACAUCCAAUAAACCAAUCUUAAGGAAAGG
rnacentral:lncRNA from 1 species